UUUCGAAUCAUUCACAAUGGGCGCAAGCCUGACGGUGCAAUGCCGCGUGGGGGAUGAAGGUCUUCGGAUCGUAAACCCCUGUCACCAAGGACUAAAAAACGGUGAAGAGCCGUCUUGAAUUAACUUGGAGAGGAAGCAGUGGCUAACUCCGUGCCAGCAGCCGCGGUAAUACGGAGACUGCAAGCGUUACUCGGAUUUACUGGGCGUAAAGGGUGCGCAGGCGGCCAGGUAUGUCAGAUGUGAAAGCCCACGGCUCAACCGUGGAACUGCAUUUGAAACUACCUGGCUAGAGUAUUGGAGAGGUAAGCGGAAUUCCUAGUGUAGCGGUGAAAUGCGUAGAUAUUAGGAGGAACACCAAAGGCGAAGGCAGCUUACUGGACAAUUACUGACGCUCAUGCACGAAAGCGUGGGGAGCAAAAGGGAUUAGAUACCCCUGUAGUCCACGCCGUAAACGUUGUAUACUCGGUCUUGGGGGAUUCGACCCCUUCAGGGCCUAAGCUAACGCGAUAAGUAUACCGCCUGAGGACUACGACCGCAAGGUUA
rnacentral:rRNA from 1 species